GACGAACGCUGGCGGCGUGCUUAACACAUGCAAGUCGAACGGGAUAAUUUGAGAGCUUGCUCUUAGAGAAUCUAGUGGCAAACGGGUGAGUAACACGUAGACAACCUGCCGACAGGAUGGGGACAACAUUCCGAAAGGAAUGCUAAUACCGAAUGAAGCGGAGGAGAGGCAUCUCUCCUCCGUGAAAGAUGGCCUCUGAAUAUGCUAUCACCUGUCGAUGGGUCUGCGUCUGAUUAGCUAGUUGGUGAGGUAACGGCUCACCAAGGCGACGAUCAGUAGCCGGUCUGAGAGGAUGAACGGCCACAUUGGGACUGAGACACGGCCCAGACUCCUACGGGAGGCAGCAGUGGGGAAUCUUCCGCAAUGGGCGCAAGCCUGACGGAGCAACGCCGCGGGAGUGAAGAAGGGCUUCGGAUCGUAAAGCUCUGUUGACGGGGACGAACGUGCGAAGGGUGAAUAAUCCUUUGUAAUGACGGUACCUGUCGAGGAAGCCGCGGCUAACUACGUG
rnacentral:rRNA from 1 species